rnacentral:rRNA from 1 species
AGCGCAGGCGGGAAGACAAGUUGGAAGUGAAAUCUAUGGGCUCAACCCAUAAACUGCUUUCAAAACUGUUUUUCUUUGAGUAGUGCAGAGGUAGGCGGAAUUCCCAGUGUAGCGGUGGAAUGCGUAGAUAUCGGGAGGAACACCAGUGGCGAAGGCGGCCUACUGGGCACCAACUGACGCUGAGGCUCGAAAGUGUGGGUAAGCAAACA